rnacentral:rRNA from 2 species
AUGGCCUAUAAAGGUGAAACCGCGAACGGCUCAUUACAACAGCUAUUAUAUACUUGAUCUUGAUAUCCUACGUGGAUAACUGUGGUAAUUCUAGAGCUAAUACAUGCACCAAAGCUCCGAUUUUCUGACGAGCGCAUCUAUUAGAUUAAAACCAAUCGGGUUUCGGCCCGUCAAUUGGUGACUCUGAAUAACUAUAGCUGAUCGCAUGGUCUCGAACCGGCGACGUGUCUAUCAAGUGUCUGCCUUAUCAACUGUCGAUGGUAGUUUAUGUGCCUACCAUGGUUGUAACGGGUAACGGAGAAUAAGGGUUCGACUCCGGAGAGGGAGCCUGAGAAACGGCUACCACAUCCAAGGAAGGCAGCAGGCGCGCAAAUUACCCACUCUCGGCAUGAGGAGGUAGUGACGAAAAAUAACGAGACCGUUCUCUAUGAGGCCGGUUAUCGGAAUGGGUACAAUUUAAACCCGUUAACGAGGAUCUAUGAGAGGGCAAGUCUGGUGCCAGCAGCCGCGGUAAUUCCAGCUCUCAAAGUGUAU